AGUGAGAGUGUGUCUCUCACACAGGGACACCUGGAGUCUACCUCCAGGUGUCUCUCACACAGGGACACCUGGAGUCUACCUCCAGGUGUCCCUGUGUGAGAGCGUGUCCCUCACACAGGGACACCUGGAGUCUACCUCCAGGUGUCCCUCACACAGGGACACCUGGAGGUAGACUCCAGCUGAAAGAUGAAGCAGGUAAAUAAAAAGAUGGAUGAUGAGGAACAACAUGAGAAGAACUCUUUAUGAGUGGAAAAAUCAUUUAUAAUCUUUUUGUUGAAAAUAUCUUGAUUCCUGACAGAUAAAUGAACAUAUUUUAUGCUUUUAAUAAUGUUUUAAAUCAACAUUAUAUAUUUCACACCAAAACCAUUCCUCUCACGCUCUUUGCUGUUUUGUGUUACUAAUACGUCACUCUGCUUGAUGCACAGAAACACUUCUGAAGAGUUUUUAUGUAAAAUGUUCACCUUCCUUUUUAUUACUGAACCAACAUGUCUGCACAAACUUUACUCCAUGCAGUAUUUCAAUGCUUUUAGUCUCUUUUUGCCUAACAGAACAUGUUGUUUAGAGUAAAACAUUAAGUUGUUUCAUUAAUCAUGUAGUUUGUGAGAUUUGACUUCACUAAAAGCUUUAGUGGUUUGUUUAAAGAUGUGAUCCACCUGGUUCUGACCCAGUCCACCUGUUGUCAGUGUGUCCUGUCUCACACUGAACCCUGGUGUCCAGAAAACCCACUACAACAGUUCGUCCUCUAACAGGGCAGACAACUUUAAACUGGUCUGAAGCCAGCAGGGUUACACUUUUACAACCAAAACAAUUAUUAAAACAAUGUUUUCAUGAGCUGUUUAGGAGGUUUACCAGAUAAAACUUCAGUCUGCAAGAUUAGUUUUCAUUUUUGCUUUUUUCAUUAUGUUUUAUUAUAUUCUCCCUAUCAGAACCUGCUGCUGUUCAUACCUGCAGUUGUUCUUCAUUCAUUCAUGUUCAAUAUUGUGUUUUUGCAGUGCAUCAAAAAAAAGACACAUUCAGUUUUUAUAAGGAUUAAACAAACAAACCUGUGGUGGAGAGGCCUUUAGUGGGUUUUAUCCAAGUCAGAUCUAAAGUUUUUGUCUGUUUUCACUUGUACUGCUUAACCACUAAUGAUUAAAUGAAUAAACACAAUCUGUUUCACA